rnacentral:rRNA from 1 species
UACGAAGGGUGCAAGCGUUACUCGGAAUUACUGGGCGUAAAGCGUGCGUAGGUGGUGAGUUAAGUCUGUCGUGAAAGCCCCGGGCUCAACCUGGGAAUGGCGAUGGAUACUGGCUCGCUAGAGUGCGGUAGAGGAGAGUGGAAUUCCCGGUGUAGCAGUGAAAUGCGUAGAUAUGUGGAGGAAUACCGAUGGCGAAGGCAGCCCCCUGGGAUAACACUGACGCUCAUGCACGAAAGCGUGGGGAGCAAACAGG